UUAUGUGAUCGUCUCUCGCAUAUCAAUAAGCGGAGGAAAAGAAACUAACAAGGAUUCCCCUAGUAACGGCGAGUGAAGCGGGAAGAGCUCAAAUUUGAAAUCUUAAAGGGUUUCCCUUUACGAAUUGUAGUUUAAAGAAGUGUUUUCUGUUGAGGUUUUGGUAAAAGUUCUUUGGAAUAGGACAUCAUAGAGGGUGAGAAUCCCGUAUUUGACCUUUACUUUCAACUUUGUGAUACAGCUUUCAAAGAGUCGGAUUGUUUGGGAAUGCAGUCCAAAAUGGGUGGUAAAUUUCAUCUAAAGCUAAAUAUUGGCGAGAGACCGAUAGCGAACAAGUACCGUGAGGGAAAGAUGAAAAGAACUUUGAAAAGAGAGUUAAACAGUACGUGAAAUUGUCAAAAGGGAAGCGUUUGACACCAGUGUUGUUUUUCUGAAAAUCAAUUAAAGAACUGUUUAUGCUAAGUUGUUUAGACUUUAUCAGCUAACUGUUUAGUUUUGAGCUUUUCUUUAAUGCACUUUUCAGUUAACAAGUCAACAUCAAUUUCUUUUGCUGUAAAAAAGCUUGAGGAAGGUGGCUUGAGAUUCGUCUUAAGUGUUUAUAGCCUCUUGCCUAUGCAGUCGGAGAGAUUGAGGUCUGCAGCGUAGAUCCUUCGGGGCUAAAUGCACUUUGUGCUAAGUUAUAGCAUUUUAUAGACAACUUGUUGACUAUGAUUUGUCUUGUAGCUUACUCGCUUAUGUUAUUUUACCUACGCUUAGGAUGUUGAGUCGUAGAGCACGCAG
rnacentral:rRNA from 1 species